AGAAUCAACGCUGGCGGCGUGCCUAACACAUGCAAGUCGAACGAGAAAGUGGAGCAAUCCAUGAGUAAAGUGGCGCACGGGUGAGUAACACGUGACUACCUACCCUUGAGUGGGGGAUAACCUAGGGAAACCUGGGCUAAUACCGCAUAAUACCUACGGGUCAAAGAAGCAAUUCGCUUAAGGAGGGGGUCGCGGCCGAUUAGUUAGUUGGCGGGGUAAUGGCCCACCAAGACGAUGAUCGGUAUCCGGCCUGAGAGGGCGCACGGACACACUGGAACUGAAACACGGUCCAGACUCCUACGGGAGGCAGCAGUGGGGAAUUUGCGCAAUGGGGAACCCUGACGCAGCAACGCCGCGUGGAGGAUGAAGUCCCUUGGGACGUAAACUCCUUUCGAUCGGGACGAUUAUGACGGUACCGGAAGAAGAAGCCCCGGCUAACUUCGCGCCAGCAGCCGC
rnacentral:rRNA from 1 species